rnacentral:misc_RNA from 1 species
UUUAUGUUUUCUCCUAACAUAUCUUGUGAUAAAAUACGCAGAUACAUUCAUUGCAUGUAUAUUACGUAUAGUUUACCAAACCAUAAAACCGAGUAAUAGAGUAUAUGACCCACUUCAGCCAAGAUCAGGUACUGUAAAGAACUCUUCAUCUUCAUUGCAAACCUCAAUCCUAGGCUUCUUAUUAGGCAUGUUGGACUUGGAUGCUCUGUAUGAAGUAACAUUGACUGACGGUGGAACUGUCAAUUGAGGAACUUCAGCUGCUGCUAGUGCCUCUUGAGGAAGUUGCUCACCGAAAAGUUCCACGUCAGCUAACCACUGAAACUCUCCAAAUUCAAGAUGCUCUUUCUUGUCAGUGGAUGAUUCAAAGUCUGAGAAUUGCAUUAAGUCAUCGGCCGCCCAUGAAGUGCUGAAGCUUGAUGGUUGUUGUGCAGGCAAUUUCAUGGAAGUUUGUUGUGCACUCUGAUUGGGUGGCUCUAAACAACUCUUCUUAGU